rnacentral:rRNA from 1 species
AUGCACUCACAGAAAUUGCUUAAGCUACUUGUGCAUUGCAACAACAUUCAGCAAGACUGUAUACUCAGCAUCAGAAUGGAAUGCAAUAAAUUAUGCAGUUCUCAUAUGGAGUGGGCGCAAAUUAAUCAGCAGCCUCAGGUUCACAUCAUCUACAUGAAUAUAUGUCAUAUCCAAUGGAAAGAUACUUACAUCAAGCGUGAAGCACCAAAACGCUCUGCAAAUGAGAUCAAAUAUAUCAGGUUGUCAAUAUCAAACCCAGCAGCUACAGCACGUGCAAAGGCCAUAGCCUGCUCUUUACGUAAGACAGUCUUGCGAGUCUCCAGCACUCUGAGAAGCUGA